GACGAACGCUGGCGGCGUGCCUAAUACAUGCAAGUCGAACGCAGUUGGAACGGGUGAGUAACACGUGGGUAACCUCCCAUCAGAAGGGGAUAACACUUGGAAACAGGUGCUAAACCGAUAUUGAUGGAUGGAACCGUGGUGCAUUCGCUAGUUGGCGAGGUAAAGGCUCACCAAGGCCACGCUUCAUAGCCGAGCUGAGAGGGUGAUCGGCCACACUGGGACUGAGACAGGGCCCAGACUCCGACGGGAGGCAGCAGGGGGGAAGCGUCGGCAAUGGACGAAAGUCUGACCGAGCAACUCCGCGUGAGUGAAGAAGGUUUUCGGAUCGUAAAACUCUGUUGUUAGAGAAGCGGUAUCUAACCAGAAAGCCACGGCUAACUACGUGCCAGCAGCCGCGGUAAUAC
rnacentral:rRNA from 1 species